rnacentral:tRNA from 1 species
GCCGACGUAGCUCAGUUGGCAGAGCAGGGCUUUCGUAAAGCUCAGGUCGAGGGUUCGAAUCCCCCCGUCGGCUCCA